rnacentral:RNase_P_RNA from 1 species
GGAGCGGACCGGGUGACCGCUGGCCGGCAACGCCGGCGAGAGGAAAGUCCGGGCUCCGCAGGACGCGAUGGUGGGUAACGCCCACCGGCCGAAAGGCCCGGGAAAGCGCAACAGAAAGCAAACCGCCUCGCGGGUCCGCCCGCGCGGUAAGGGUGAAACGGUGAGGUAAGAGCUCACCAGCAGGCUGGGCGACCAGCCUGGCUAGGCAAGCCCCAUCGGGAGCAAGGCCAAGCAGGGAGCAGCGCUAUUCUGGCGGCCGGCAACGGUCCGCCAGAAUAGCCGUGGGCCGGUCCGGCCCGCUAUGACUCCCGGGUAGGCCGCUGGAGUGGCCGAGCAAUCGGCCUCCUAGAGAAAUGGUCACCCACCGCGCUCAAGCGCGCGGUGACAGAACCCGGCUUACAGGUCCGCUCCAAAC